GGACGAUGAGCCUCUGGGUCACCUCCCACCCGUGUUUAUUGUACCUUGUUGCUUCGGUGCGCCCGCCUCACGGCCGCCGGGGGGCUUCUGCCCCCGGGUCCGCGCGCACCGGAGACACCAUUGAACUCUGUCUGAAGAUUGCAGUCUGAGCAUAAACUAAAUAAGUUAAAACUUUCAACAACGGAUCUCUUGGUUCCGGCAUCGAUGAAGAACGCAGCGAAAUGCGAUAACUAAUGUGAAUUGCAGAAUUCAGUGAAUCAUCGAGUCUUUGAACGCACAUUGCGCCCCCUGGUAUUCCGGGGGGCAUGCCUGUCCGAGCGUCAUUGCUGCCCUCAAGCACGGCUUGUGUGUUGGGCUCCGUCCCCCCGGGGACGGGUCCGAAAGGCAGCGGCGGCACCGAGUCCGGUCCUCGAGCGUAUGGGGCUUUGUCACCCGCUCUGUAGGCCCGGCCGGCGCCAGCCGACAACCAAUCAUCCUUUUCAGGUUGACCUCGGAUCAGGUAGGGAUACCCGCUGAACUUAAGCAUAUCAUAAGCCGGA
rnacentral:rRNA from 1 species